UAUUAUAACGUACCAAUAUGACUACGAUUGCUAGUGGUGAUGAGUUCAAGCUGUUUGUCGUCAAUCAUCCAAAUCUCUUUAAUCGAGUUUCUUUAUCUCACGUUAAGUAGCAAAAGAAUUUGUAGUCGUUCCUGCUAAAGAGCCAUACUGUUGCUUAAUUUUGUUGUUUCAUCCCUUUUUGAUAAACCGUUUUAUCAAUUUCUAAGUGAGUUGACAUAGUCGUCACAAUAUCGAAUCUGCAAAUAGCACCAUUUGCAUAGUAUCCAAACUAAUCAUACAUAUAUGAUCGCCAAUUUAAUUUGUGUCUAUAGUUUUCCAUAUAUAACAGUAUAACACAAGUGCAAGAUGAGAAGAGGAUGCUCUAUUGGCAAUUAAGGGUGAGCAGCAGUAGCGUCUAUGGUUAUCAACGGGAGGCUCAAGAUGAUCCAAAACAGAGAGAGGACCCGAUUGUUUGAAAUCAUAACACCUGAGGUUUAUAAUAAACCAAGAAACCCUUUUCGAGGAUAUGGUCACGAUCUCUGAGGAUCAAAAUCAUCGGAUACUAUUUGUGACAUUUGGUCUCAAACACUUUAAUAUCAUGUGGUAAUAUGGAGUUGUUUUGAUUAAGACAAUAUUUGAUGAAAGCUUUAGAUAGGAAAAACAAAUGUUUGUUUAAGACUUUGAUCUUGACAAGAAAUCGCUUUGGUUUUAAUUUCUAAUAGUAGACUAUAGCUUAAUUUGUGUCUUUAGACUC